rnacentral:piRNA from 1 species
UAGAACAAGUAGUCUACGGCU